rnacentral:rRNA from 1 species
GAUGAACGCUAGCGGCAGGCUUAACACAUGCAAGUCGAGGGGCAGCACGGGUAGCAAUACCUGGUGGCGACCGGCGCAAGGGUGCGUAACGCGUGAGCAACAUGCCCUAUACAGGGGGAUAAUCCAGGGAAACUUGGUCUAAUAUCCCAUAGUAUUUAGAGGAGGCAUCUUCUAUAAAUUAAAGCUUCGGUGGUAUAGGAUUGGCUCGCGUGACAUUAGCUAGAUGGUGAGGUAACGGCUCACCAUGGCAAUGAUGUCUAGGGGUUCUGAGAGGAAGGCCCCCCACACUGGAACUGAGACACGGUCCAGACUCCUACGGGAGGCAGCAGUGAGGAAUAUUGGACAAUGGUCGGAAGACUGAUCCAGCCAUGCCGCGUGAAGGUUACGGUCCUAUGGAUUUUAAACUUCUUUUGUAUGGAAGCAAUAAGGUGCACGCGUGCAUCGAUGAGAGUACCAUACGAAUAAGCAUCGGCUAAC